AGCAGCAGCCGCGGUAAAACAGAGGGUGCGAGCGUUAAUCGGAUUUACUGGGCGUAAAGCGUGCGUAGGCGGCUUCUUAAGUUGGAUGUGAAAUCCCUGAGCUUAACUUAGGAAUUGCAUUCGAUACUGGGAAGCUAGAGUAUGGGAGAGGAUGGUAGAAUUCCAGGUGUAGCGGUGAAAUGCGUAGAGAUCUGGAGGAAUACCGAUGGCGAAGGCAGCCAUCUGGCCUAAUACUGACGCUGAGGUACGAAAGCAUGGGGAGCAAACAGGAUUAGAUACCCCCGUAGUCCCUGUCUCUUAUAC
rnacentral:rRNA from 1 species